rnacentral:rRNA from 1 species
UACCACGGUGUGGUUCAUGACUGGGGUGAAGUCGUAACAAGGUAGCCCUAGGGGAACCUGGGGCUGGAUCACCUCCUUA